UCAGGUAGGGAUACCCGCUGAACUUAAGCAUAUCAAUAAGCGGAGGAAAAGAAACCAACAGGGAUUGCCUUAGUAACUGCGAGUGAAGCGGCAAAAGCUCAAAUUUGAAAUCUGGGGCCUCACAGCCUCCGAAUUGUAAUUUCACGAUACGUUUUCGACUGAAGGCUCUGCUUUAAGUUCCUUGGAACAGGACGUCACAGAGGGUGAGAAUCCCGUGAUAGGUGGAGCCUGAUGCAUAUGAUACGUAUUCAACGAGUCGAGUUGUUUGGGAAUGCAGCUCAAAAUGGGAGGUAAAUUUCUUCUAAAGCUAAAUAUUGGCGAGAGACCGAUAGCGCACAAGUAGAGUGAUCGAAAGAUGAAAAGCACUUUGAAAAGAGAGUUAAAAAGUACGUGAAAUUGUUGAAAGGGAAGCGCUUGAGACCAGACUCAAUCUGUAGUGAUCAAUUUGGCUUCUGUCAGAUGCACUUGCUACUUAUUGGGACAGCAUCGGUUUUGGCGGUGGGAUAAAGUCUUGAGGAAUGUAGCUAUCUUCGGGUAGUGUUAUAGCCUCUUGAGUAAUGCCACCAGCUGGGACCGAGGACCGCGCC
rnacentral:rRNA from 1 species